rnacentral:rRNA from 1 species
AAGCACUUUAUACUGUGAAACUGCGAAUGGCUCAUUAAAUCAGUUAUCGUUUAUUUGAUAGUACCUUACUACAUGGAUACCUGUGGUAAUUCUAGAGCUAAUACAUGCUAAAAACCCCGACUUCAGGAAGGGGUGUAUUUAUUAGAUAAAAAACCAACGCCCUUCGGGGCUCCUUGGUGAAUCAUAAUAACUUAACGAAUCGCAUGGCCUUGCGCCGGCGAUGGUUCAUUCAAAUUUCUGCCCUAUCAACUUUCGAUGGUAGGAUAGUGGCCUACCAUGGUGGCAACGGGUAACGGGGAAUUAGGGUUCGAUUCCGGAGAGGGAGCCUGAGAAACGGCUACCACAUCCAAGGAAGGCAGCAGGCGCGCAAAUUACCCAAUCCCGAUACGGGGAGGUAGUGACAAUAAAUACUGAUACGGGGCUCUUUUGGGUCUCGUAAUUGGAAUGAGAACAAUUUAAAUCCCUUAACGAGGAACAAUUGGAGGGCAAGUCUGGUGCCAGCAGCCGCGGUAAUUCCAGCUCCAAUAGCGUAUAUUAAAGUUGUUGCAGUUAAAAAGCUCGUAGUUGAACCUUGGGUCUGGCUGGCCGGUCCGCCUCACCGCGAGUACUGUCCGGCUGGACCUUUCCUUCUGGGGAACCUCAUGGCCUUCACUGGCUGUGGGGGGAACCAGGACUUUUACUGUGAAAAAAUUAGAGUGUUCAAAGCAGGCCUUUGCUCGAAUACAUUAGCAUGGAAUAAUAGAAUAGGACGUGCGGUUCUAUUUUGUUGGUUUCUAGGACCGCCGUAAUGAUUAAUAGGGAUAGUCGGGGGCGUCAGUAUUCAGCUGUCAGAGGUGAAAUUCUUGGAUUUGCUGAAGACUAACUACUGCGAAAGCAUUCGCCAAGGAUGUUUUCAUUAAUCAGGGAACGAAAGUUAGGGGAUCGAAGACGAUCAGAUACCGUCGUAGUCUUAACCAUAAACUAUGCCGACUAGGGAUCGGACGGGAUUCUAUGAUGACCCGUUCGGCACCUUACGAGAAAUCAAAGUUUUUGGGUUCUGGGGGGAGUAUGGUCGCAAGGCUGAAACUUAAAGAAAUUGACGGAAGGGCACCACAAGGCGUGGAGCCUGCGGCUUAAUUUGACUC